AGUGUAAGCUUUAUUUGCACUGAAGGAGAGAGGGCAAAAAUCACUCAGAUUGGUCACUAGGCAAAUCAUCCAGGGUGGAAAGAACACAGACAAAAACAAAAAAGACAUAUGUUGGAGUUGGAAUCAGCACAAUACACAUACAAAGUUUUCUGAGUUCUGAAAAGGUAUGGCUAGUACAAAAUUUCUAAAAAUAAAUAUUCUGCUUCAAUGGAAAACAUACACACACGUGUGUGUAUAUGUGUGUGUGUGUAAUAAACAGUUUUGUGUUCAUUCAAAGGUGGCAAGUAAAUAAAGUUUGGUCUUCAAUUAAGAAUUUGGGCUUCUUUCUUCCUGUGGUUUUUGGGCUGUUUGGCAGUAAACUCCCGGCCAUGCCUGAACCCUCUAAGUCCGCUCUGGCCCGGAAGAAGGGCUCCAAGAAGGCGGUGACCAAGGCGUAGAAGAAGGACGGCAAGAAGCGCAAGCGCAGCCGCAAGGAGAGCUACUCCGUGUAUGUGUACAAGGUGCUGAAGCAGGUCCACCCGGACACCGGCAUCUCGUCCAAGGCCAUGGGCAUCAUGAACUCCUUCGUCAACGACAUCUUCGAGCGCAUCGCGGGCGAGGCGUCGCGCUUGGCUCAUUACAACAAGCGCUCGACCAUCACAUCCAGGGAGAUCCAGACGGCCGUGCGCCUGCUGCUGCCCGGGGAGCUGGCCAAACACGCGGUGUCCGAGGGCACCAAGGCCGUCACCAAGUACACCAGCUCCAAGUGAGCCGGCCCGCCACGGAGUGAUCGAACCACAUCCAUCACUUCGCGAUCCUGCUGAAGCCAUCAGUGCAAUUAAACUCAUCAGAGUACUCAGAACAACGUCCACUGGAUUCUUCACUUCUGUCAUCCUGACAGUCCUCCGAUACAUUUUCAUUGGAUCCAAAAUCUUGGUGGAGGAAAAUCCCUGAACACUAUCCUGACUUCUUAAGGUGGAAUGCUUAUCUCCAUAGGCUACGUGAGACUGUAGCUGUUGCUUCCUUCAAACCUAGUGUUAAAUUUUGGCAGUGGCCACACCGUGGAACAUAGACUUCUAAAAGUCACAAACCAUGACUUUGAAUAGUUCUUCAGUUGUAAUUUGAUGGAGGUAAGAAAUACAGAAGAAUAGAUGCCAUUUAUCUGUAUCAUGUGCUGCUGCUCUGUUUCAGACUUCAGUCCAUCCUGUGUAGGAAGGUGAAAGCUUGCAAUAGUCCUUUAAGGCCACUCUCAUUCCAUAUCUGUUUUCUAGAUGAACAAACUAAUGCACAGAGAAGGGGAGUAUUUUGUCUAAAUAGCUAGAGGAUCAAUGACAGAGUCAGUGAUGUAUUUUGUGGUCUUUUGUUAUCAUUAAAUUCUCUCAAAACAAAUAAACAAAUGGAGAUGGGCCAUUUGUAUUUGUUUCAAUAGUGAAAAAGUUGCCAUUCUUUAUUUGAGAGAAAAAAAAAAGUUUGUCCUUCUUGUUCCCAAGAACAGAAAAGAAAAAAAAGGACAGCUUAUUAUUUUUUUUCUUGGCGAACACUGGUCCAGCUCUCUUUAGAGGGUCCUGUAGCCCUACUCCUAUCAUCAUACAGUUAAUAACUUUUGCCUUUCCUGUGGGAAACUAGCAUGUAUAGCAAAGUCUGC